GUACAAUUUUACAAUCAACUAAGAAAAAUGUUAGGCAUCCCAACAAUAUAAGUACUUCAAUAUUGAUCAAUACAAAGGAACAAAAACAAAAUUUCCUUUUCUGUAAAAGUAUAUGGAAACACAGUUUAUUGCUGAAUUGCUGCAGAGAUACAUAUGGCAACACAGUGCUCAAAAGUGAUUUCAGUUAUUUAUACCGCAUGGACAUUGUGGAGACUACCCAAUGAAUAAAUUGAACUCUUCAGAAGGAUAAUGCAUCUACUUUUUCCAGAAUCAAUGAAACAAUAGAUUACCAACUGUCAGCAGCUAUAAUUACAGUAUCCAUACAUGAGAUCAAUAUCAUCCCUCAAAGAAUCUAAGCUAGCAAUAGAAUCCAACCACUUGAUUUCCUCCAUCAGUUCCGCCAAUCUAGAAUAUAUCUCUUUGCAAUGGGGGUGGGAUCGAUCAUCAGCAAUGAAAGCAUGAACCUCAUUAUUUACCUCUAUCCAACUCCAUCCAGGGACCUUCUUCACCUUCCUCUCCCUCAUCAACCUAGUCAUGUAGGCUUUGUCAUCCCACCUCUUAAGAUGUCCAUACAUGUUAGUGAGGAUAAUGUAAGUGCAAUGCUCUUCAGGCUCUAGCUCCAGCAGAUGGUUUGCUACCUGAGCAGCUAAUUCUACAUCUCCACAUGCCCUACAGGCACCUAAUAAGGUUUUCCAGACCAUCGCAUUAGGUUUAAAUGGCAUUGAUUCAAUCAAGGCUUUUGCCUCAUCUAGAUGCCCAGCCCGCCCAAAUAGAUCAAUUGCACAAGCAUAAUGCUCCAUCCGAGGUGGAAUCCCAUAAUCAGAUGCCAUAGAUUUUAAAAAAUAGCGGCCCUUUUCAACUAAUCCAAUGUGGCUACAUGCAGUCAGCACCGCAACAAAACUUAUAUGAUCCACCUUCACCUUCCUCUCUCUCAUUUGGAAAAAGAGGUCCAGUGCAAUAUCACCCUUUCCAUGUUGUGCAUAUGCAAACAUAAUGGAAUUCCAAGUAAUUGAGCUAUCUCUAGUAGAGUUUUCAAAAGACUUUUGAGCAUCUUCAAUUAUCCCACAUUUAGAGUACAUAAAAAUCAAUGAACUGGCUACAAAGUUGUUCAGCUCAAAGCCCGACUUAAAUGUCAAGACAUGAAUCUGUUGUCCUAGUUGAAGAGUUGCUAAAUCUGAGCAAGAUCUAAGGACUGCUGAGAAGGCGUAGUGAUCAAUUUCCAACAUUGAAUAUCUCAUAUGCCCAAAAAAUUUUAGGGCAUCUUCACUAAACCCAAUUUGUGAGAAUCCAGUCAAAAUGGAAUUCCAAGAGACACGGUCCUUAGACUCCAUGGAGUGAAACACAUUUAAUGCAUCUUCCAUGGAUUUAUUACUUGAUUCAAGAUACAUACCUAUCACAGCGUUACAGAUAGGUACUGAUUGCUCCAGUCCCCUCUUGGUAACCAAGCCAUGGAAGGAUCUCCCUUGGUCUUUAUGCGAACAAGCACUUAUGACGCUAGUGUAAGUAUAGAUGUCUGGCUCAAAACCAGACUGUUGCAUGUCAAGGAAUAGUCUAAAUGCAAUUUCUUCCCUACCAUGUGCCAGGUAUGCCGCUAACAUGGAAUUCCAUGUAACCAAAUCUCGGGUGCCAACGGCACCAUCAAAAACUUUUUUUGCAUCCUCUAAUGAACCACAUUCUGAAUACGAAGUAAUAGUGGCAUUGCACACAGUGUUAUCAAACUCCACACCAUGUUUUAUUAUCUUACAAUGAAGCUGCAUUGUUAAAUGGCAGAACUUAUCUUCAUUAAGCAAGGUAAGAAGCGGAGAAAAUGUUCCAUCAUCAAGUCUCACUCCCUCCUCCUCCAUGCAACCAAAUAGCCAAAAUGCAGUGUCACAAUCGCCCUCCUGCACAAAGCCAGCAAUAAGUGCAUUCCAUGAGACCGAAUUACGUUGUGGCAUGCGUUGAAACACCAAGAAUGCAUCUUCAACUCUCUCACACUUAGCAUACAUAUCCAACAGAGCACUCCCUGCAUAAACAUUCUCCUCGUAACCCAUCUUGACUAUCAAGGAAUGCACUUGUUGCCCAAGAUCAAGUCUACAAGCACAAGCAACCCCCUUAAGUAUGCUUCCAAAGGCAUAUGCAUCAGUAUAAAAACCACUUCUUUUCAUACCUUUAUGCAACUCCCAAGCAGCUUCCAAGUUCCCAGAGUUCACAUAUCCAGAUAUCAUCGUGUUCCAAGUAACGGUAUCUCUAUGGGCCAUUUCGUCGAACAGUUUGCAAGCAAGACCUAGUCCUCCGUGAUUGCAUCCCGUAUAGUGACUGAGGAUGUUGUUGGCAGUGUAAAUAUCUGCAAAUAGUCCGAAUUUGAUCGUCCUGCAAUGGGUUAUAAAGACGUUAUAAAGAGCAUGGCGGGAGCUCUCAAUGACAGAGUUCAGUGGCCUCAUUCAUUUAUGGGCAACAAGCAUCAAUUCUAUUGCCAGAUAAAACACACGAUAACUAAUUUGUUUGAUUUGAGCGAAGUGGCAGCAAAUGAAAUGAAAUUCCUGUGAGGAAUUUUUCUGUAGCUACAUUUUUCUUUCGCUUCAAACUGAAUGGC
rnacentral:misc_RNA from 1 species